rnacentral:misc_RNA from 1 species
GAUGAAGAACGUAGCGAAAUGCGAUAAGUAAUGUGAAUUGCAGAAUUCAGUGAAUCAUCGAAUCUUUGAACGCAUCUUGCGCUCCUUGGUAUUCCUUGGAGCAUGCCUGUUUGAGUAUCAUGAGCAAAUCUCAAAGUCAAUUACUUUUGUUGAUUCAAUUGGUUUUGCUUUGGACUUGGAGGCCUUGCAGAUUUCACAGUCUGCUCCUCUUAAAUGCAUUAGCUGGAUCUCAGUAAUUAUGCUUGGUUCCACUCGGCGUGAUAAGUAUCACUCGCUGAGGACACUGUUAAAAAGGUGGCCAGGAAAAUACUGAUUGAACCGCUUCUAACGGUCUAUUAAGUUAGACAAUUACCCUUAAGUUUGAUCUCAAAUCAGGUAGGACUACCCGCUGAACUUAAGCAUAUCAAUAAGCGGAGGA